AGUGAACGCUGGCGGUAGGCCUAACACAUGCAAGUCGAACGGCAGCACAGUAAGAGCUUGCUCUUACGGGUGGCGAGUAGCGGACGGGUGAGGAAUACAUCGGAAUCUACUUUUUCGUGGGGGAUAACGUAGGGAAACUUACGCUAAUACCGCAUACGACCUACGGGUGAAAGCAGGGGAUCUUCGGACCUUGCGCGAUUGAAUGGGCCGAUGUCGGAUUAGCUAGUUGGCGGGGUAAAGGCCCACCAAGGCGACGAUCCGUAGCUGGUCUGAGAGGAUGAUCAGCCACACUGGAACUGAGACACGGUCCAGACUCCUACGGGAGGCAGCAGUGGGGAAUAUUGGACAAAGGGCGCAAGCCUGAUCCAGCCAUACCGCGUGGGUGAAGAAGGCCUUCGGGUUGUAAAGCCCUUUUGUUGGGAAAGAAAAGCAGCAGGUUAAUACCCCGCUGUUCUGACGGUACCCAAAGAAUAAGCACCGGCUAACUUCGUG
rnacentral:rRNA from 1 species